ACUCUAAUGCACGUUGAAGUUUACAUUCAUAGAGACGGGUACUAUAGUUCACAUACAUGGAUAUGUAUCUAAACUUGGAUCAAAUUGCCGUAAUCACUAAACUUGAUCUAAACAUCACAUGUGUAUUUUAUUCAAAGAGAAAAAAAAAAGAGUUGUACAUUAACCAUUUCAAUAAGUUCGGUUUCUUUUUAUUUCUUUUUUUAAAGGUAAGUCACUUUAGUUUCUCACUCAUUGCUUAAAGCAUUCAUGGGGAUCAAUUAACAAAACGCAGCUCCAACUCUAUCACGCGGGAUGAGUCUCAGUUCAGAUCCAUGCUUCAAGAACACGUUUCCUGACAUCAAACACUAACACAUUAACUUUCACGAAAUAUAUAUAUAUAUAUGAUGAAAAGUCAUAUACCCGACUAUGAAUAAAUAAUCAAACGGUUCUACUCCUAGUUUCUUACAGAUAUUAUUAAUAAUAAGCUUACAAGCUACUAAAGAAUACACAACAAGUCAGAGAUAGAUAGGGAACCAAACAAUUUAAAAUAUCUAGGAAUUAUGAAAUUACCUGCGCUCUGUUGAGGAUUGAUCCCGAUCCCAUCUGCACACAUGAGAGAAAUCUUUUUAAGUAUUGUGGAUAGAAUCAGCAGAAAUUAAUCAAUGGGUGACUGACACUAAACCAAAUUGAGUACUAAAGUCUAUUCAAACUAAAUCUCCAGCACUUGAAAAGCUUUGAUAAAGCUCAGAGGAAAGAGUAUGCAUGCAUGAUAAUGUCUAAAGAGAAUUCUUGUGACUGCACGAAACAUAAGUGAAGAAAAUAUCUGAAACUAUAAGCUCAUCGUUUGAUCUAAGGAGCACAAUUUAGCUGAAGAUUUUUCAAAAAUUCACAUAAAUUUUAUCAAUUCAAAUUCACAACAAGGAAUGCUCAGAUUCAGAUUAAAUUCGAUUAAAGCUACAGAAUCAUCACAAAGUACCAUUGGUGAUGAUGGCGCUGGUUUGAGGAGGAACCUUAAACUCCUCUGCUGCGAAUUUCAGAACCGCCGUGAACGGAGCUCCCUCCGGCACGCUGAAUCUGAGAUUAAUCACAAUUCACAAGCAGAUCAAUCACAAUGGAAGGAAAUCGUAAAGAAGUUACACGAUUCGAACUUACACUUUGAAAGGAAGCUUAGGGUCCGAGGUCAGGGUGACCUUGAAGGAUACUUUCCCACCAGUUGCCAUCUUUCCGGCGAAGGGUGCGAGGAGAUGGAGAUCAGGCUUGCACGGUGAAAAAUUUGGAAAUGGUGCUUCGCGUUUCAACGACGCGUACUUACACAAAGAGGGAGGGUUUCAACUUUAAGUUGGGCUUCAUUUGGGCCCAUUUUAGGCCUAUCUAAUUUAUUAAUAACUUCCAGAUUUUUUACAUUUUAAGCUCAGUAUUAAUCUUUUCUCUUAUAGAAUGUAACUUGCGGUUUUAGGAAAUCGGUUUGGAGCACGGAGGAUAGGCAUUGGAUUCCAAUAUGUAUACAGUUACUUUAUUGAGUAGAGUUAUUUAAAAAUAGUUUAUUCUAUCAAUUUCACAAAAUUGCCUUUACCAUUUACCUUGAAUAAAAGAGAAUGAUGGUUUCAUUAAGUCCACACAAAAAAAAAAAUUCAAAUAUAAAUAUGCCACCACAGUUUUGCAGAAUGAACGAAAUGAAUAUUUUACAUUCUUUUUUAUUCAGAGUUAGUAGCUAUUUUUAUUUAUUUUCACACCCAAAUCAACAUUAUAUUUACAUUGAAAUUAGCUUUAUCAACCCACGGAAACAAAUAAACAAAUGACAUAUUUUCUUAAAAAGGAAGGAAAAAAAAAACUUGUUUAUCUAAAAACGUGAUCACUCACGAAAUUAGGUUGGAUACUAUUAGCUAAAAAACAAUAAGAGACAACAACGGAACAAGCCACAGUCCCCCAAUCAUCGUCUUAAAUCCACUAGAACCUGCAGAACCAUCGCUGCAUACCAACUUGUUGUCAUGGUACGUGCACACCGGCUUCUUCCUAUACACAUAAAAACAACAACAAUCAAAUUAAACAUAAAACUAUUUAAUCGAGUCAAGAUUAAGCCUAAGAUUGUUUACUUACUUCUGCAUGUGACAUUAACAAAGCAUUAUAACAUGUACGUUAUUUAAAAAGGUUAAGACAUGACAUACUUGGCGGAACAGAAAGAGAUGACGUAAUCGGUCCCUGAACAAGUGAAGAUACUGGUCGGAUCAUCAUAAGCAUAGCUGUAAGAAGUAGGGCAAGCUUCCUUGAACAGUUUCGAGUAAUAAGUUGGUCGACACGUGGAAGGGUUCCCAUAAACUCCUCUGCAACAAUACUCAUCUUUAUCGAACACAUCACAAGCGCUCCUACACGAAAUCACCUUCCCGUUAGAUUUCACGGCAAGCUCCCGCGGACACUUUGGCCUCAGGUCGGCGACGCAACCGGCGACGCUGCAGUUUCCUUUCCCGUUCAGUGGAGUAACCGACAUAGGGAGAUUGAAUCCGUCGACCAGGCUCACGUCGUAGAAAUCCAAUGUAGCUAACGUGAACUCAGCUAGUGACGCUGGUGGUUUUCCGGAGGCUGAGCAUUUUAGAGUCGAGCCGCAUGAACCGGUUUCACAAGUUCCGGUUCCGGUUUUGUCGAAAUUGCAGCCGGUUCGUCCCCAUAUUCGACCUGACCAGCCUACUGGUGCGUUGAAUACCAUGGAUUGGCCCGGUUUGAGCUCGAAGCCUCCGCCAUUGAAGCUCUCUCCGGGUGUUAUCGCCGGCCAAACUACUUGGUUACAUGAGUUCACGAUCGUGAAUACACGAGCUGAGUCCGACCAUUUUGUCCCUGUAGAUUAAGUUCUAAUCAUUAGUCAAACCUUAAUAUAUACGUAACAUAGUUGAAUUCAUGAGACAUAUAAUUUCGAAAAUAUCUAUGAUAUCAAUUAUCAAAAAACAUUUCUAUGAUAUAUAUAGUGGGAACAUCUAUGAUAUAUAUGAUUGGGAAAAUAUAAUUGAUUGAAUAAUCACCUGAUAAAAGUGUUAGAAAGAGUAACAAGAUCCUUGGUGACAAAUAGAAACGAGAUUGCAUAUUUACUGGAAAAUAUUGAACGAUAAAAAUAUACUAUUUUGUGGUCCAGGUGUGGUUAGAUUACGGAGAAUUACUGAUGUGAGAAGGUCUUUUUAAGGGAGAAAGAUAGAAUAACUUGCAUGGAGAGUCUAUAUCUCAAAUUAUAAUAGUUAUUUCAAGUACUUUGAAACGCAGAACAAGUUAACUUUGUGUAUUUUCAAAUAAGAUUCCUUGUUUUGGAAUUAGGAAAAAGUUAGUGUUAUUCCUUUCCUGAUGCUUUCACGCAAGCAUUCUUUGGGAUAGUUUCUUGGCUUAAGGUAGUCAAGUCCAAAAGCUUGGAAUAUAUACUUAUAAAUGUAUGUAUGUGUAUCUAUAUAUACAUUAAAUAUACAUAUAUAAAUUAUAUUAGUAAAUGUAAAUUAUAUAUAUAUAUAGAUAUUACAUUUAUCUGACUAAUUAUUUAAUUUGCUUAACUUUGGUUGGAAAUUUGAAUCGUUUUCUUGAUCGGUAUCUGCAUGGCUGCAUGCAGUGCCGUCCCACAAUUUGGAGUGGCCUAAAGCACACAAAAUAAAUUGUGUGGCCUAUUAUAUAAAUACCAACAAUAUAUAGUAGUACACUAACACCAAACCAGUAAAAAGUGUAAAAAGUAAUCAAAUGAUUAAAAUAAAACUAUAUUGGACAAAAAGAAGAUCGAACUAUGGUAUCCUAAGUUCAAACUUGUUAACCAUUUGACCUAUCUAAUAAUUAGUGAUAUGUAGCCUUAAUUUUUUCUCUAUUUAUUGUGGCCUAAAGCAGAUGCUUUACUUGCCUUAUGGCAGGGACGGGCAUGGCUGCAUGUUAUCUUGAUUAUCUUAGACUCCCGUCUUGGUCACUUUUUUUUGUUGCUAAACUGAAUAUCACUAAAGUGAAAGAAGAUUUACAUCAUGUUGCUUUUGGGUUUCGUCAAUUCAUGCAAGUAUAUAUCUAGGCGUAAUUAAGCUAUGUUCAUUUAAGUUUUAACCCAUUAAGUUUUUUUUUUUUUUUUUGCUAAAAAAGUUUUAACCCAUUAAGUUCCAAAAUCAAAUGACUCAUUCGUCAUUCGCCCAUGCAUACUCGCAAUAUGCUUCUGAUGUAAAAGGUGUUCUCUUGUCACACACUCAAAGCGUUAUUUAUAGACUAGAGAUGACCCAAUAUUCUAUAGCCAAAAGCGAUUUAUAGAUAUGAUAUGUAUCACCAACCAAAAGAAAAAGAAAUGGAAACUAUACAGUUUAUGUAGAUUGGUGAUCAGCUUCCUUUCCGCUGCCAUCUAUUGUGGCCGCCUGGCCGGAUUAAAAAGGCAAAAACAAAAGGAUGUAAAUGAUGAUUCAUUCUCAUUAAAAAAUCGACCCAUUGUAAGAGUAAGGGGCUGAAAAGGAGAAAGUUAAAGAAAGGGAAAACAUAGUGAGAUUAAUUAAGGCUAAGACAGCUAGACACGUGCGGUUAUUAUGUUUGGUAGUAAUCCAACCUCACUAGCAAUCAUUCUCUCCAUUGAAUCCAUCCCCAAUCACUGAAUCACGGCUUUUUACUAACUGUUUCUACCUCAGUAGAGCGUUUGGAUUAGUGUGGUGUAGAGAAGGGCAUUGUUUUAUGUAUUUUCAAGUUCCAAUUAACAGCUACAAUACAAAAUAAUCAGACAAAACAUGAAAACUUAAUGAUAUAAUUGAUUAAUGCACAUAUAGAUCCAGAUUAUCCUUACACUAAAAGGAAAAGGCCAAUAUUUUUUCUUCAUUGUUCUAGUAGUUACAAUUAUUUUAAAAUCAUGGUACUUUCACCAUUGUUAUUCAUAAUUUUUUUAAAAAAAAUUUAGUUAAAAGAACAUUAAUAUUUCAUAUCCAAAUAGCUUAAACCAAAACCAAAAAAGAUUCAACCUUUAUACUACUGAUUAGUUGUUACAAUCAUGAUUAAAAAUAAUCGUUAAUGAUAAUUGUAGUUUAUCAUUUCUUUAGAGGAAGACGAAAAAGAUCAUCAUUGGCGUCGCUUCUAUUAUUAUCAGUUUAUUACAAUGAUUAUUAUAGUCUCUUUAUUUUCCUUAACUUAUAAUGAGUGUACCCUCUUUCCGCAUUUUUACUUUUCUUAAUUUGUAAUUAGUGCAACCUCUUUUCGCAUAUUAUCGGGGUCAAAAUAUAAUUAACAAUCUAAAAGUCGGCCUACCCGCUCGUGUAGUACUCAAGACAUGUGGCCCAUAAGCCCAACGAAUAAAUCAAACCCAUUAAAACUAAUAUAUGCUCGUCUAAAAUAGUAACAGUUACAAGUAGGUGACACAACUCAAUUAUUGCAUACAGAGUAAAAAAAAACUCUAUAUAAAGAGUGGAAAAGAGAAGCUAAGAAACUGAGAGAAGAAGAAGAAGAAGAAGAAGAAGAAGAAGUGAUCAUGGCGGCAGAGAAGAUAGAGACUGUAAUCGCAGGGAGUUACUUAGAAAUGGAGAGAGAAGAAGAAAGUAAAAGUAUUAAUAAUAAUGAUUCUUCAGCUAAAACAAAACUCUCUAACUUCUUCUGGCAUGGAGGUUCUGUUUACGAUGCUUGGUUUAGCUGUGCUUCAAAUCAGGUAUAUAUAUUCAUACAUCACCUACCGGUCUUGAGAUUCAUGAAGCUUAAGCAAUUACUCCACUAAAUAACUACUAGUCUACUGCAUAUAUUUUUCUUAAUUAAUUUGAAGACCAAAUCAUAUUUACAUAUUAACCACUUAUAAAUUAUCGUCGUCUCUAAAAUUGUAACAAUAAUGUAAAUGGCUAGGUAGCACAAGUACUGUUGACAUUACCAUACUCAUUCUCACAACUUGGGAUGAUGUCGGGAAUAUUGUUUCAACUCUUUUAUGGAUUAAUGGGAAGCUGGACUGCUUACCUCAUUAGUGUUCUCUACGUUGAAUAUCGAACUCGUAAAGAGCGGGAGAAGUUUGAUUUCCGUAACCACGUUAUUCAGGUUUAUUUCAUUCUUUAUAAUUAAUCACAGUUAUAAUGUUUGGUUUUGUUAAUUUUAGUUUUAUUAUUCCCUUAAAAGUGGUUUGAAGUGUUGGAUGGAUUGCUGGGGAAACAUUGGAGGAACAUUGGAUUGAUCUUUAAUUGCACGUUUCUUCUCUCCAGUUUAAAAUUCCACUACCAUUCGAGGGCCUUUAUUGGGCCAGCAGCAAUAUUAACUAUAUUUAUAAGCCCAAUAAGGAUCCAAUAAAUCUCUUCACUGAAGCAGACGAGAACAAACAAUCGAGACUCUAAUGCACGUUGAAGUUUACAUUCAUAGAGACGGGUACUAUAGUUCACAUACAUGGAUAUGUAUCUAAACUUGGAUCAAAUUGCCGUAAUCACUAAACUUGAUCUAAACAUCACAUGUGUAUUUUAUUCAAAGAGAAAAAAAAAAGAGUUGUACAUUAACCAUUUCAAUAAGUUCGGUUUCUUUUUAUUUCUUUUUUUAAAGGUAAGUCACUUUAGUUUCUCACUCAUUGCUUAAAGCAUUCAUGGGGAUCAAUUAACAAAACGCAGCUCCAACUCUAUCACGCGGGAUGAGUCUCAGUUCAGAUCCAUGCUUCAAGAACACGUUUCCU
rnacentral:lncRNA from 1 species